rnacentral:rRNA from 1 species
AGCGAACGCUGGCGGCAGGCUUAACACAUGCAAGUCGAGCGGGCACUUCGGUGUCAGCGGCAGACGGGUGAGUAACACGUGGGAACGUACCCUUUGGUUCGGAAUAACGCUGGGAAACUAGCGCUAAUACCGGAUACGCCCUUUUGGGGAAAGGCUUGCUGCCGAAGGAUCGGCCCGCGUCUGAUUAGCUAGUUGGUGGGGUAAUGGCCUACCAAGGCGACGAUCAGUAGCUGGUCUGAGAGGAUGAUCAGCCACACUGGGACUGAGACACGGCCCAGACUCCUACGGGAGGCAGCAGUGGGGAAUAUUGGACAAUGGGCACAAGCCUGAUCCAGCCAUGCCGCGUGAGUGAUGAAGGCCUUAGGGUUGUAAAGCUCUUUUGUCCGGGACGAUAAUGACGGUACCGGAAGAAUAAGCCCCGGCUAACUUCGUG